rnacentral:rRNA from 1 species
AGGACGAACGCUGGCGGCGUGCUUAACACAUGCAAGUCGAGCGGUAAGGCCUUUCGGGGUACACGAGCGGCGAACGGGUGAGUAACACGUGGGUGAUCUGCCCUGCACUUCGGGAUAAGCCUGGGAAACUGGGUCUAAUACCGGAUAUGACCUCCUAUCGCAUGGGUGGGUGGUGGAAAGUAUUUAUCGGUGCGAGGA